rnacentral:rRNA from 1 species
UACAGAGGUGGCAAGCGUUGUUCGGAAUUACUGGGCGUAAAGGGCGCGUAGGCGGUCUUCUAAGUCUUGUGUGAAAUCCCCAGGGCUCAACCCUGGAACUGCCUUUGAUACUGUCGAUCUGGAGUAUGGAAGAGGUGAGUGGAAUUCCGAGUGUAGAGGUGAAAAUUCGUAGAUAUUCGGAGGAACACCAGUGGCGAAGGCGGCUCACUGGACCGGUUCUGACGCUGAGGCGCGAAAGCGUGGGGAGCAAACAGG